AGGGGGUAAGCAUUUUUACCCCCUCACCCCAUUACAGCAAAAUGAAAACAGUGAACCAGCACCUGCUCCUUACAGGUUCCCCUUCAUUUGUCGGUUUCUUUCUCAAUUUCAGUAGAAAUGCUGAAAAAUAAAAGCAGGCCCUGGAGCACCAGCACCCUCAGAGGGUGAGACAGAGUGAAGGACCCUCAGAGUGAUGGACAGAGACACGCCUGGAAGGGAGGGAAGGGCCAAGGUCACAAAGCACAGAAAACCCACCAGGGACACCUUUGACUGGU